rnacentral:lncRNA from 1 species
GCUAAACUACUUCCCAUGUCCUGCCCACCAUGACUGUCCUCUGACUCUGUGAUCUGCGGACAGGAGGAACACAUUGUAUCUGUGAGUCGGGAUGGGACCUUGAAAGUGUGGGACCGUCAGGGUGUGGAGCUGACCAGCAUCCCUGCCCAUUCCGGACCCAUUAGCCAGUGUGCGGCUGCUCUGGAACCCCGUCCAGCUGGACAGCCUGGAUCAGAGCUUCUGGUGGUGACUGUUGGACUGGAUGGGGCCACAAAGCUGUGGCAUCCCCUGUUGGUGUGCCAAAUACAUACCCUGCAGGGACACAGUGGUCCAGUCACAGCUGCUGCUGCUUCAGAGGCCUCAGGCCUCCUGCUGACCUCAGACAAUAGCUCUGUACGACUCUGGCAGAUCCCUAAGGAAGCAGAUGAUACCUGCAAACCU